rnacentral:lncRNA from 1 species
ACUUCAGAGCCCUGAGUGUCUUGGGAGGACUUCCAAUGUGGGUGGUGUGCUGCGAAUGCAUGAGCGGAGCACUCCGGGCACUGCGCACGGGAUACAUUUGGAGUAUGUUCAUAUGA